GAGGAAGCUGGUGGCGGAGAGGUGGCCGGAGGAGCGGGGCUUGCAGGUGGUGGAGAAGUUGGUGUAGGAGGCGGCGGUGAUGUGACUGGAGCAGGUGGCGGCGACGUAGCAUUACUUGGUGGUGCUGGUGGUGAAGUAGGAGCCGGCGUGGCUCCCGGCGUUGGUGAAGACAUUUUCCGAGAAGACCCUGAUUCAAAAUCUACUAGAAAUUAUAUAUGAAGAUACCAAACGAUGAUGAAUAGCUGUCGUCGGAAAAAUUUUCUGCUGUAGUUUUGUUCCUCUCUCUAGAUUUUUUUAGAGGGAGAGAGAGAGAGAGUGAGUUAGUGAAUUAAGACGAUUCUUUGGGAAUAAACUAAUAAAGAGAAAAAGUUAAGGGGCCAAUAUUAUUAUGAUUAUUAUUAUUUUAAUUAAUGAAUUGUUUUGAG
rnacentral:lncRNA from 1 species